GACAACACUGAGGUCUGGUGACUCACCCAGGGUCAUGCAGCCUGUGAGUGGCAGAGUGAGCCGGGAACCUGGCUGCUGGCUGAGAAAUUUCAGGGCUUCUUCUUUGAGUGCCCAGCAGGAUUGCAGCACCACAUGGCUCUGGGGCUCUCCCACUGGCCAGUCUGGGCUGAAGGGAAUGAAGUGAAGAGAGGGAGUUUCCCCUAAAGGUUGGCACCCUAUGGAUUGGAAGAAUCACAAGAUGGGAAAUGCCAGUGAAUGAAUAGGUGCUUAUGUCCCUUUUAGUCUCACUGGAAUCACAAUUUCCAUGGUGUCCCUCAGAGACCACAGACCCCGUUGGGAAGAAAAGAAGGUUAAUUUAACAUGAUUUAUUCUCUGUAAACCCAUUCUUGCUCCAUGCAAUCCCUAGUCUCUUUCCUGAUACUCAUUCCUCUAAGGAGAGGACAGAAGCCACCUGACCCUAAACCCUCAGCCUGG
rnacentral:lncRNA from 1 species